UACCUCAAAAAACCACAACAGUCUGUUUCAUCCGUAUAGGAAUCAUCAGGUGGUCCUGAUGAUUCCUAUACGGAUGAAAUGGCUGAUGAUUCCUAUACGGAUGAAACAGACUGUUGUGGUUUUU